rnacentral:rRNA from 1 species
CCUACGGGUGGCAGCAGUGAGGAAUAUUGGUCAAUGGACGAAAGUCUGAACCAGCCAUGUCGCGUGAAGGAAGACUGCCCUAUGAGUUGUAAACUUCUUUUAUACGAGGGUAAACUCAUCUACGUGUAUCUUUCUGUAAGUACCGUACGAAUAAGGAUCGGCUAACUCCGUGCCAGCAGCCGCGGUAAUACGGAGGAUUCAAGCGUUAUCCGGAUUUAUUGGGUUUAAAGGGUGCGUAGGCGGCGUGUCAAGUCAGCGGUGAAAUACCGGGGCUCAACCCUGGAGUUGCCGUUGAAACCGGAGCGCUAGAAUUCAGUUGAGGUGGGAGGAAUGUGUGGUGUAGCGGUGAAAUGCAUAGAUAUCACACAGAACACCGAUUGCGAAGGCAGCUGACGAAUCGGAGAUUGACGCUGAUGCACGAAAGUGUGGGUAUCGAACAGGAUUAGAUACCCCAGUAGUC